UACAGAGGGGGCAAGCGUUGUUCGGAAUUACUGGGCGUAAAGCGCGCGUAGGCGGACCUGCAAGUCGGGGGUGAAAGCCCGAGGCUCAACCUCGGAACUGCCUUCGAUACUGCGGGUCUCGAGUCCGGGAGAGGUGAGUGGAAUUCCUAGUGUAGAGGUGAAAUUCGUAGAUAUUCGCAAGAACACCAGUGGCGAAGGCGGCUCACUGGCCCGAUACUGACGCUGAGGCACAAAAGCGUGGGGAGCAAACAGG
rnacentral:rRNA from 1 species